rnacentral:rRNA from 1 species
AGGGAAUCUUCGGCAAUGGGCGAAAGCCUGACCGAGCAACGCCGCGUGAAUGAUGAAGGCCUUCGGGUUGUAAAAUUCUGUUAUAAGGGAAGAACGACUUUAGUAGGAAAUGGCUAGAGUGUGACGGUACCUUAUGAGAAAGCCACGGCUAACUACGUGCCAGCAGCCGCGGUAAUACGUAGGUGGCGAGCGUUAUCCGGAAUUAUUGGGCGUAAAGAGCGCGCAGGUGGUUGAUUAAGUCUGAUGUGAAAGCCCACGGCUUAACCGUGGAGGGUCAUUGGAAACUGGUCGACUUGAGUGCAGAAGAGGGAAGUGGAAUUCCAUGUGUAGCGGUGAAAUGCGUAGAGAUAUGGAGGAACACCAGUGGCGAAGGCGGCUUCCUGGUCUGUAACUGACACUGAGGCGCGAAAGCGUGGGGAGCAAAC